AAACUCAAAGGAAUUGACGGGGACCCGCACAAGCAGCGGAGCGUGUGGUUUAAUUCGUUGCUACGCGAAGAACUUACCUGGGUUUGACAUAUAGGUUGUAGGGAACUGAAAAGGGGCCGACCCUUCGGGGAGCCUAUACAGGUGUUGCAUGGCUGUCGUCAGCUCGUGUCGUGAGAUGUUCGGUUAAGUCCGCUAACGAGCGCAACCCUCGUCGUAUGUUAUAUGUGUCAUACGAGACUGCCGGUAAAAGCCGGAGGAAGGUGAGGAUGAUGUCAAGUCAGCAUGACCUUUAUAUCCAGGGCUACACACACGCUACAAUGGUCUGUACAAUGGGUAGCCAAGCCGCGAGGCGGAGCCAAUCCUGAAAGCAGGCCUCAGUUCAGAUUGCAGUCUGCAACUCGACUGCAUGAAGCCGGAGUUGCUAGUAACCGCAGGUCAGCAAUACUGCGGUGAAUACGUUCCCGGGUCUU
rnacentral:rRNA from 1 species